UUCAUUGGUGGUCUUGCAAUAGAUGGGCCAUGAUGGGUGGAUGUCUGUGAGUGAAGUUGAAGGUGAUGGCCUUACCAUCUGACUUACAAACAGAGAAAAAUACGUGAGAAAAUCCAAGGAAGAAACAAAGACUCAGAAAACAAAUGUGACUGUUGGGUCAUGGUCCAAGAAAGGAGUACCCCGCAGAGACUUCUGAGUUCCUGUGAGAAAACUCCAAGAAAGCAAGGUCCCACCACGUCUAGAGCAAUAAACAAGUGGUGUGACAAAUCACGGCCCUGAGGUUGGCUAUGGGAUCAGAGGGUGGAGACCCUCACAGGAGGUGAUUGAGCAUAAUGGGCCAGAAACCAGAAAAGACUUUGCCUUAUG
rnacentral:lncRNA from 1 species